rnacentral:rRNA from 1 species
UGAGGAAUAUUGGUCAAUGGGCGCGAGCCUGAACCAGCCAAGUCGCGUGAGGAAUGACGGCCCUACGGUUGUAACCUCUUUGUCGGGGAGCAAAUUCCGCCACGUGUGGCGGAGUCGAGAGUACCCGAAGAAAAGCAUCGGCUAACUCCGUGCC